rnacentral:tRNA from 1 species
GGAAGGGUGGCUGAGCGGUUGAAAGCGGCGGCCUCGAAAGUCGCUGUGGGCGCAAGCCCACCGGGGGUUCGAAUCCCUCCCCUUCCGCCA